rnacentral:rRNA from 1 species
GGCGAACGCUGGCGGCGUGCUUAACACAUGCAAGUCGAGCGGUAAGGCCCUUUCGGGGGUACACGAGCGGCGAACGGGUGAGUAACACGUGGGUGACCUGCCCUCAGCUCUGGGAUAAGCCUGGGAAACCGGGUCUAAUACUGGAUAUGACUCCAUGACGCAUGUUGUGGGGUGGAAAGCCUUGUGCGGCUGAGGAUGGGCCC